AUCGUUUCUCGGCCUUUUGGCUAAGAUCAAGUGUAGUAUCUGUUCUUGUCACUGUCCCUCUCCUCCCGUUGUUCAUUAAUUUGCUCAAGUGGGCCCAGUAAUGUCUCCAUUGUGAGACUUGUUGUUACUGUGUUUGGCAUAUCGAAUACGUCACAGCUAGCUUGCCAGGCUUUGCCGCGCAGGCGAGAUAUUUU